UACGUAGGCAGCGAGCGUUGUUCGGAAUUACUGGGCGUAAAGAGUGUGUAGGCGGUGCUCCCAGUCUGUUGUGAAAUCUCCCGGCUUAACUGGGAGGGUGCAGCGGAAACUAGAGUGCUAGAGGGUGGGAGAGGUAAGCGGAAUUCCUAGUGUAGCGGUGAAAUGCGUAGAUAUCAGGAGGAACACCUGUGGUGUAGACAGCUUACUGGACCACUUCUGACGCUGAGACACGAAAGCGUGGGUAGCAAACAGG
rnacentral:rRNA from 1 species